CAAAGCUGUGGAGUGUGACAAUGGUGUUUGUGUGACUGAUAUCAAACGCCAUUAUCACACUAAAUAGCUAUGG
rnacentral:pre_miRNA from 1 species